ACCAAGCCUAGCCCUAUUAAACCCUAAUUCAACAACAUACCACGAUAAAACAAACCAUUUGACAAGAGAAAGUAUUGGAGAAAGAAAUCUACUUGAGGAGCUAUAGAGAUAGUACCGUAAGGGAAAGAUGAAAGAUCACUAAAAAGUAUGAAUAAGCAAAGAUUAAACCUUGUACCUCUUGCAUAAUGGGUUAACUAGAAAACACCUAGCUAAGAGACCUUGAGCUAGAUACCCCGAAACCAAACGAGCUACCUAAGAGCAGUAUGAAGAACCAACCCGUCUAUGUGGCAAAAUAGUGGGAAGACUCCUAGGUAGAGGUGAAAAGCCUAUCGAGCUUGGUGAUAGCUGGUUACCUGAUAAAGAAUUUUAGUUCGACUUUAAGCAUUACCAUAAGAAAUUANNNNNNNNNNNNNNNNNNAAAAUUUAGYCUAAAGAGGGAYAGCUCUUCAGGAAUGGAAACAACCUUAUAUAGUGAAUAAACACUUGCCCAAAAACCAUAGUUGGCCUAAAAGCAGCCACCAAUAGAGAAAGCGUUAAAGCUCAACAUUGUAAUCCCACUAAUUCCGUAAUCCUCNNNNNAUUCCUAUAGCACUNAUCAGGUUAAUCUAUAUCUAUAUAGAUGARAUACUGUUAACAUGAGUAACAAGAACACUGUUCUCCAAGCACAAGCCUAUAACAACCCGGAUAACCAUUGUUAGUUAACAUCUUCAGGCAUAUAAGCCACCCAUAAAACCAACCUAUAACUUAAAUGUUAACCCAACACAGGUGUGCAGUAAGGAAAGAUUAAAARAAGUAAAAGGAACUCGGCAAACAAGAAUCCCGCCUGUUUACCAAAAACAUCACCUCUAGCAUAWMMAGUAUUAGAGGCACUGCCUGCCCAGUGACAAAAGUUCAACGGCCGCGGUAUCCUGACCGUGCAAAGGUAGCAUAAUCACUUGUUCCUUAAUUGGGGACUGGAAUGAAUGGCCUCACGAGGAUUCAACUGUCUCUUACUUCCAAUCAGUGAAAUUGACCUCCCCGUGAAGAGGCGGGGAUAAUGCAAUAAGACGAGAAGACCCUAUGGAGCUUCAAUUUCCUGGCUUAACUGACCAACUAAUACCCUAAUGGCCCAAAAAGUAAAGAGAUAAGCCAGUAAUUUCGGUUGGGGUGACCUCGGAGAACAAAACAACCUCCGAACGAUUUUAGCCAAGACAUACAAGUCUAAGCACUAAAAAUCUAAUUGACCCAAUUCAUUUGAUCAACGGACCAAGUUACCCUAGGGAUAACAGCGCAAUCCUAUUYKAGAGUCCAUAUCRACAAUUAGGGUUUACGACCUCGAUGUUGGAUCAGGACAUCCCAAUGGUGCAGCMGCUAUUAAWGGUUCGUUUGUUCAACGAUUAAAGUCCUACGUGAUCUGAGUUCAGACCGGAGUAAUCCAGGUCGGUUUCUAUCUAUUAACUAUUYCUCCCAGUACGAAAGGACAAGAGAAAUGAGGCCUCCUUAGCACAAGCGCCUUAAAACUAAUAUAUGAAAUUAUCUCAAUAUAGUAAGUUAGUUCAACAGCACCCUAGACAAGGGUUU
rnacentral:rRNA from 1 species